AUCAACAUGUCAAGGAGUCAUGAGGAUUAUGCUCCUAUGUUGUACCUUCAUAGCUCAGAGCCACGCUCAAAUGAUGUUGACUUCCGAUGAAUGAAAGCCCCCGAGCGAGGAAGAUCCUGAAGGUAGAAUAUCUCCUUGAACAGACGGAGGCAAAGACGAUCUUAGCAGUGCAGGGACAGGAUUCCUUCAGUGCGGGCUUUAUGAAGAACCAGUUUCUGGCAGGAGAUAAUGGAGAUACAAACAGGAGAGGCACUGCAUUGCCACAGAAGGUAUCAACACUUCCCCUGUGGUGGGGCCUUCCGUCCUGAAGUCCCGGACUGGUGGGCACCGACGAAGUCAGGGGCCCUGCGCAGAUAGCCAUUUGUCUCAGGCCCUGCUGCCAUACCACAGCUGUCCACACGGGGGCGCUGGCCCUUCCCACCGUCUUUCUACCUGACCCAAGGCCAUUCAGAGCAUCUAAGUGAGGACAACUGAGGCCCAGCGAGGUUAAGAUGAUGUUAUGAUCGUGGUCCCUCCUGGCAGAGGAGAACAAACUCCAACUUGUGGUGAGAGUGGAGGAGGCUCAGACACUGGGAAAGGCCGACAGAAGCUUCUUCAACUGUAGUUUACAACCUCAUACUUUUGUGGCAAAAUAGUAUCUGUGUUAACAUAAUGCAAGUUUCUAAUUAAAUGCUU